AUUGAACGCUGGCGGCAGACUUAACACAUGCAAGUCGAGCGGAGAGAGGUAGCUUGCUACUGAUCUUAGCGGCGGACGGGUGAGUAAUGCUUAGGAAUCUGCCUAUUAGUGGGGGACAACAUUUCGAAAGGAAUGCUAAUACCGCAUACGUCCUACGGGAGAAAGCAGGGGAUCUUCGGACCUUGCGCUAAUAGAUGAGCCUAAGUCGGAUUAGCUAGUUGGUGGGGUAAAGGCCUACCAAGGCGACGAUCUGUAGCGGGUCUGAGAGGAUGAUCCGCCACACUGGGACUGAGACACGGCCCAGACUCCUACGGGAGGCAGCAGUGGGGAAUAUUGGACAAUGGGCGGAAGCCUGAUCCAGCCAUGCCGCGUGUGUGAAGAAGGCCUUAUGGUUGUAAAGCACUUUAAGCGAGGAGGAGGCUACUUUAGUUAAUACCUAGAGAUAGUGGACGUUACUCGCAGAAUAAGCACCGGCUAACUCUGUGCCAGCCGCCGCCGUAA
rnacentral:rRNA from 1 species